GGAGAUAUAGCUCAGAGAUAGAGCACUUGCCUAACAAGUGCAAAGUCCUGGGUUCAAUCCUCAGUGGCACCA
rnacentral:tRNA from 1 species